UACAGAGGGUGCAAGCGUUAAUCGGAAUUACUGGGCGUAAAGCGUGCGUAGACGGUUAUGUAAGUCGGGUGUGAAAGCCCCGGGCUCAACCUGGGAAUGCCAUUCGAGACUGCAUAGCUAGGGUGCGGAAGAGGGAAGCGGAAUUUCCGGUGUAGCGGUGAAAUGCGUAGAUAUCAGGAGGAACACCGAUGGCGAAGGCAGCUCGCUGGGACGGUACUGACGCUGAGACGCGAAAGCGUGGGGAGCGAACAGG
rnacentral:rRNA from 1 species